GACGAACGCUGGCGGCGUGCUUAACACAUGCAAGUCGAACGGUAAGGCCUUUCGGGGUACACGAGUGGCGAACGGGUGAGUAACACGUGGGUGAUCUGCCCUGCACUUCGGGAUAAGCCCGGGAAACUGGGUCUAAUACCGGAUAGGACUGCGCGGUGCAUGCCGUGUGGUGGAAAGAUUUAUCGGUGCAGGAUGGGCCCGCGGCCUAUCAGCUUGUUGGUGGGGUAAUGGCCUACCAAGGCGACGACGGGUAGCCGGCCUGAGAGGGCGACCGGCCACACUGGGACUGAGACACGGCCCAGACUCCUACGGGAGGCAGCAGUGGGGAAUAUUGCACAAUGGGCGCAAGCCUGAUGCAGCGACGCCGCGUGAGGGAUGACGGCCUUCGGGUUGUAAACCUCUUUCAGCGGGGACGAAGCGUGAGUGACGGUACCUGCAGAAGAAGCACCGGCCAACUACGUG
rnacentral:rRNA from 1 species